rnacentral:rRNA from 1 species
UACGAAGGGGGCGUAGCGUUGCUCGGAAUUACUGGGCGUAAAGGGUGCGUAGGCGGGUCUUUAAGUCAGGGGUGAAAUCCUGGAGCUCGAACUCCCAGAACUGCCUUUGAUACUGCGGAUCUUGAGUUCGGGAGAGGUGAGUGGAACUGCGAGUGUAGAGGUGAAAUUCGUAGAUAUUCGCAAGAACACCAGUCGGCGAAGGCGGAGCUCGAC